UACGAAGGGUGCUAGCGUUGUUCGGAAUUACUGGGCGUAAAGCGCGCGUAGGCGGCUUUCCAAGUCAGGGGUGAAAUCCUGGGGCUUAACCCCAGAAUUGCCUUUGAAACUGGAAAGCUAGAGUGUCGGAGGGGAUAGCGGAAUUGCUAAUGUAGAGGUGAAAUUCGUAGAUAUUAGCAGGAACACCGGUGGCGAAGGCGGCUAUCUGGACGACAACUGACGCUGAGGCGCGAAAGCGUGGGGAUCAAACAGG
rnacentral:rRNA from 1 species